AAAAGAAGAAGAAGAAGAAGAAAAAAAGAAAGAAAAGCAACCACAGAGCUCAGUUUUUCUUCUUUCUUCUCGUUCUUCUUUUGUUUU
rnacentral:ribozyme from 1 species